GAAAAUCAGUCCUCUGGAGGAUGCACCACAAUUCACCUAUGGCUUCCCCAGCCUCCUGCCCCCUCAGCUCUAGUUUUAAAACUACAGCUAAAGGAAUUUCGAUGAUGAGGGGAGGACAUAACUUAAUGCUUUCUGAUCAAAUGAAUCCUGCUGAAGAUUAUUGAAGAGGGUGGAAUAAGACAACAGAGAAAGUGAAUGGGUGUGCAAUAAGAAUGUACCCCAUU
rnacentral:lncRNA from 1 species